rnacentral:rRNA from 1 species
UGCAAGUCGAACGGCAGCACGGACUUCGGUCUGGUGGCGAGUGGCGAACGGGUGAGUAAUGUAUCGGAACGUGCCCAGUAGCGGGGGAUAACUACGCGAAAGCGUAGCUAAUACCGCAUACGCCCUACGGGGGAAAGCAGGGGAUCGCAAGACCUUGCACUAUUGGAGCGGCCGAUAUCGGAUUAGCUAGUUGGUGGGGUAACGGCUCACCAAGGCGACGAUCCGUAGCUGGUUUGAGAGGACGACCAGCCACACUGGGACUGAGACACGGCCCAGACUCCUACGGGAGGCAGCAGUGGGGAAUUUUGGACAAUGGGGGAAACCCUGAUCCAGCCAUCCCGCGUGUGCGAUGAAGGCCUUCGGGUUGUAAAGCACUUUUGGCAGGAAAGAAACGUCGUGGGUUAAUACCCCGCGAAACUGACGGUACCUGCAGAAUAAGCACCGGCUAACUACGUGCCAGCAGCCGCGGUAAUACGUAGGGUGCAAGCGUUAAUCGGAAUUACUGGGCGUAAAGCGUGCGCAGGCGGUUCGGAAAGAAAGAUGUGAAAUCCCAGAGCUUAACUUUGGAACUGCAUUUUUAACUACCGGGCUAGAGUGUGUCAGAGGGAGGUGGAAUUCCGCGUGUAGCAGUGAAAUGCGUAGAUAUGCGGAGGAACACCGAUGGCGAAGGCAGCCUCC